GAUGAACGCUGGCGGCGUGCCUAAUACAUGCAAGUCGAGCGAACAGACGAGGAGCUUGCUCCUCUGACGUUAGCGGCGGACGGGUGAGUAACACGUGGAUAACCUACCUAUAAGACUGGGAUAACUUCGGGAAACCGGAGCUAAUACCGGAUAAUAUAUUGAACCGCAUGGUUCAAUAGUGAAAGACGGUUUUGCUGUCACUUAUAGAUGGAUCCGCGCCGCAUUAGCUAGGUGGUAAGGUAACGGCUUACCAAGGCAACGAUGCGUAGCCGACCUGAGAGGGUGAUCGGCCACACUGGAACUGAGACACGGUCCAGACUCCUACGGGAGGCAGCAGUAGGGAAUCUUGCGCAAUGGGCGAAAGCCUGACGGAGCAACGCCGCGUGAGUGAUGAAGGUCUUCGGAUCGUAAAACUCUGUUAUUAGGGAAGAACAAAUGUGUAAGUAACUAUGCACGUCUUGACGGUACCUAAUCAGAAAGCCACGGCUAACUACGUG
rnacentral:rRNA from 1 species